rnacentral:rRNA from 1 species
GACGAACGCUGGCGGCGUGCUUAACACCUGCAAGUCGAACGGAGUGGCGAACGGGUGAGUAACACGUGGGUGAUCUGCCUUGCACUUCGGGAUAAGCUUGGGAAACUGGGUCUAAUACCGGAUAGUGCAAGAAGAGCUGGCGGGCUAUCAGCUUGUUGGUGGUGUAAUGGCCUACCAGGGCGUCGACGGGUAGCCGGCCUGAGAGGGGGUACGGGUACAUUGGGACUGAGAUACGGCCCAGACUCCGACGGGAGGAAGAAAUGGGGAUUAAUGCACAAUGGUCGGAAGCCUGAUGCAGCGACGCCGCGUGGGGGAUGAAGGCCUUCGGGUUGUAAACUCCUGUCGACAGGGGCGCGGUACCUGCAUAAGUAGCACCGGCUAACUACGUGCCAGCAGCCACAGUAAUAC